UACAGGGGGGGCAAGCGUUGUUCGGAAUUACUGGGCGUAAAGGGCCAGUAGGCGGCCAACUAAGUCCGACGUGAAAUCCCCAGGCUUAACCUGGGAACUGCACGGGAUACUGCGAGACUUGAGAUCGGGAGAGGGAAGCGGAAUUCCGGGUGUAGCGGUGAAAUGCGUAGAUAUCCGGAGGAACACCGGUGGCGAAGGCGGCUUCCUGGACCGAUACUGACGCUGAGGCGCGAAAGCUAGGGGAGCAAACGGG
rnacentral:rRNA from 1 species